rnacentral:rRNA from 1 species
CGGUGUUCAACUGGCGUGCCCGCGGGACGUCCUGCCGGUGAGCUCAGCCCGCGAGGGCGGCUCAACUUGAAAUCCCAUCGCGGUGCUCUUCAUUGAGUGUCGAAGUGGGCCGGCACGAUUACUUUUGAACAAAUUAGAGUGCUUAAAGCAGGCUAAAAUUUUGCCUGAAUACUGUGUAUAUGGAAUAAUGGAAUAGGACCUCGGUUCUAUUUUGUUGGUUUUCGGAACCCCGAGGUAAUGAUUAAUAGGAACGGAUGGGGGCAUUCGUAUUGCGACGUUAGAGGUGAAAUUCUUGGAUCGUCGCAAGACGGACUAAAGCGAAAGCAUUUGCCAAAAACGCUUUCAUUGAUCAAGAACGAAAGUUAGAGGUUCGAAGGCGGUCAGAUACCGCCCUAGUUCUAACCAUAAACUAUGCCAGCUAGCGAUCCGCCGACGUCCCUCUGAUGACUCGGCGGGCAGCUUCCGGGAAACCAAAGCUUUUGGGUUCCGGGGGAAGUAUGGUUGCAAAGCUGAAACUUAAAGGAAUUGACGGAAGGGCACCACCAGGAGUGGAGCCUGCGGCUUAAUUUGACUCAACACGGGAAACCUCACCAGGCCCAGACACUGGAAGGAUUGACAGAUUGAGAGCUCUUUCUUGAUUCAGUGGGUGGUGGUGCAUGGGCCGUUCUUAGUCGGUGGAGCGAUUUGUCAGGUUAAUUCCGAUAACGGACGAGACUCUGACCUGAUAACUAGACGCACUUGCGGCAUCUCAAAGGUCCGCCGGCGGCUGGCUUUGCGCCCGUCGUCGCGCGCGAUUUUUACUGCCGGCGUACAAUAAAUUCUUCUUAGAGGGACAAGUGG